UUACAUAACGAGGGUCUCGAAUCUGGCAACAUUGAUGCCUUCAGGUAGCAUGUGUGGGUUUAUUGACCAGUUGCCUUCACCCAAAAAGAUCACGUUCUCGUGACGCCUGCGGCAAAAAGGACGUUCCACGUCCGCCGUCAAGGUCAGUGAGUGGUGGCGCUGGCUAACACUCCCAGGGUUCUACUAGGACACAUAAAUACCCAAGAAAGUGGAUGGGGAAACAGCGCCGCGGUAUCUCAAUUGGUAGAGCAUCGCACGCGAAAUGCGAAGGUUGUGGGUUCGGUUCCCACCUGCGGCAAGUUGUUUUUUCAUCCACUUUAAUUUCCAUUAUUUAUCAUUUCUUCAUUUCAUUUAUUAAGCACAAGUAAU
rnacentral:lncRNA from 1 species